UAGGGACUUUUUGUUGACCCCCUUGAAUCUGUCUUCCUGUCUCCCAGACCAGCUUUCUAACGACACUAACUAUGUUUUGCUUCUUUCUCGUUCCCCUAAGAUAGGGGCUGGGAGCACGAUCAUAACAUCAGGCUUCUGGUUAGAGACUUACAAAGCAAUUAUUUGAGCUUUGCCACAACUUUGGGAGAAAAGAACUACAGGUUUAAUCUGUAUGCCCAUUUGACAGAUGCAGAAACCGAGAGAUGGGCAAUGAUCUGACCAGGAUCCUCUAGUAAGCAAAGCCUUGGGAAUCCUGGCUUCUGGGAGCCAAAGAAUGUGAACUGAGGACAGCUUGGUUUCCUGGGAAAGACUUCUGGGGACAAGAGCCACCCACAAGCCAGGCGUGUCUGGGUCCCUUGCUGGCCCAGGCAGACAAUUUUAGAGCUCAGACCUCCCGACCGGAAGAGAAUCUCCAGGCUGCACUUAUCUCGUAUUUUUGGAAAGCGUGGGGGCCGACUUAUUGGGGGAAACACUCCGGGGCCUCCUUUGGGAAGCUUGGGGGGAGCUGAGGCACACAAGCACAGACAGGAGGCUGGGAAUAAAGGCAGUGGAUGACCUUUGCGGAGGUCCAGAGUAGGGCAUCGCCAGUGCCUGGGGAAUUUGUCUGUUGCUAUGGGAAACCAGGAGCCGGCAGCGCCAGCAGCAUCCGGAGUUGCUUAGUAACCGCUGGGAGGCGGAGACAGCCUAGCGAGGCGGGGAAUGAAAAGAUGCCUUUAUCCGCAGCCCAGACCAUGAUAAGCUCCAAAUGGGAACAAGAGCUAGAUGGGAAGAGCCACAUCACCAGAGAGCUGGAUGAAGAGGAAAAGAGGCCCUUUUCAGCUGUGGAUGAGGGAAGAGUUCCUGACCAAACAAGGGAGAGAGGAAAUCGGAGCAGUUCCUGCAGAUGGAGACCUCUGAACCCUAACCCUAACCCCAGGUGAGGGGGGGUCUAGACCUCUACCUGAAGGAGCAUGGUCUCCUUGAGGCACUGGACUACCUCACUUUUGCCUUUCUUUUCUCCGGUACCUAGCACAAUGCCUGGUACCUGGCAGGUGCCAGC
rnacentral:lncRNA from 1 species